AUGGUAUCUUCUCAGCUGGCUUGAGGGCACACCUCCCAAAAUGCAGAGAAGGCAGGGUGGCUAGGAAUGGCUCUAGUAGAAUUCUCCCCUUAUCUUGUCUGGAAACAAGGGGCAAAGAGCUAUCUAUUUCCUCCUGCCAGCCUCCUGCCCCCAACAGGAUUCCUCACAUCCCAGGACCAGCUGGAAAAGGUGGUGAGAGUUGGAAAGAGACUGCUCAGUGAGGACUGCCCUGCGAACCAGCUUGGAUUCAUCCCGUUCACCUCCACGUUCUGCACGCGGGGCCGAGGGAAGGGAGGCAGCCCAGGCAGCUAGAGAACUUGAUGAAACACACUCAAUCUGAAUCUCGCUUGAUCGUCAUGCUGACCCAGUGAGGCCACUCCUCGACUUUUCAGCUCCCGCACGAUUCCUGAAGCAGGAAAAGAAACAGUUCUGUGAGUCUACUCAGGGUCAGGCAUCCUUUCCGACUACUCGCUCAGCAGCGGAUCCCCACCCGCCUCUGACUCCCAGUGUCUUUCGGCUCCAACGUAAGUUCACCGAACGUCUAAGAGCUGAGGAUUCAAAGGCAUGUUAAGACCGCCCCUGCCCUCAGCUGCAAGACCUGUCCGCGAUCCUACGAGCCCCAUUCCGCCCUCUUUCCCCGACCUUGGUCCCCCAUGGGCCCUACAACCAGGUCCCCGACUGACACCUUGACCAGCGAACACAGCAAACAGGCCCGCAGAUGCCGCAGGUCCUUCGGCACCGUCUCCAGGGCCAUCUUCGCCGAUGGGAAGAACAACAGGGAGCUAGACGACCACAGCCUGUGCACCCGCAGGAAGUAAAUAGCUCGUUACCCAGAAUGCCCACCACUUCCGGCGCUUAGACUUCCUCUUCCGGUGUGGGCGGGCGCCAGCUCCGCCCCUACCCCCGCCAGAGGAGAUGGUUUCUCCCACCGGCAGGCGGGGAGGCUGGGCGGCCGGCCGCCACCUGGGCCGGGGCGCGUCGCAGCCACCUGAGCCCGCCGAGGGCGCGGCGGAGGCUGUGUAGGGUAGUCAGCGGGCCCCCGGGGCGGGGGGGCGGCUGCGCUUGCGCGGGAGUGUGUCGGGCUGAGCCGCAGCGCCGAGACGCGGGCUGUUUGAUCUGGGCUGGUGGCCCUGGGCGCCGGUCCUGUUCCCCGAUGGUAACCCGAAGUUUGUUUUUUUUUUGUUUUGUCUCCCCGUUUUAGAAGCAUUGGGGGCAGUGAAUCCACUGUCUCCCUCUGGAUUGUCUCUGCAGAGACCGAGAAGAAAUCCAGGGACAGCCCCACCCCUCCUUCCUAACUGCGAGAGCGCUAUAGGGUUUCCACUUGCUUCCCACAGGAAUGCUGGCCUGGGAGCUACGGCGGAAAAAAAUGCGUAUUUAUCUUUUAAAACUCCGUCUGUUUGCUCGUUCCGGCUGAUAAUUUAUACUUUGCGCAGUUCUUAGCGCUUAGACACGGUUCCUUUACUAAAGACCAUUUGUAGGAGAUUAGGUGUCCUUUUUUUCCCUUUCAUUUCACCGUCUAGGAAGCGAAAUGCCUUGUUCUAUAGGCACCAAACCACCACCCCUACCAAACCUUUCUCGGGGAAGCAGAAGGGGAACUUGUGCCUUGUGAGGAAGCGACAAAGGCCCCUUCUGGCCCUGGAGACUUCACGCCAAUGGAGCACCAGCUCUCUGUCCUCGCAAUAGCCCGAGUGCAGGCAGAACGCAGUCAUUUGUGUUUAUCUGAGAGGAGCUUUGGGAUAUAAAUAGUUUCAGGCCCCGCUGCUCUGUCAUUCCAGCCCAGCCUCCUGAUUGAGCUGCUUCCGGGCGGGCUUGCUUCUUGUUGGCGGUCCCAUGCUGUGUUCAGAUGGGCUCUGUGACAGGUUUGGAUGUUUUCUAUCACUGAAUAAAACUUUCCACUUUGGAACAUGUUUUCUACACUCUAUUAUCUCAUGUAAGUCCUGCAACAACUAUUAAGUAGGCCCAUUUUAUGGACUGAAAAAGCGAGGCACAGAGUAUUUGCCCAAGGUCUUAGUCACUGAAGUAUGAUAAUGUGUGAAGCGAACAGUAUAAUAAUAAUGACUGAAGCACAGUAAGAAUCCAGUCAUGCUUUCUCCUUCCCUGAUCUCACUAAGCCACACUUUUAGGGGCUUACAAACCAGUUCUUAUUGCCAAGCCCUCUACUCUACCCUAUCCUUUCAUGAAUCGGAGCCUAGCCUCUGAUAACAGAAAUAAUUUACUUCUCUUGAUGUAGAAAGAGAUGACGUUACCCUGAGUGACAGUCACGACAGAACAAAACCACAAGACCAGACCACAUUUGUGGAUAAAUAUAUUAGCAAAUAAAUAUAUUUCUUAACAUA
rnacentral:antisense_RNA from 1 species